UUAGGUAAGGUGUUCCAGGCAUGUUCAGCCGGGAGGAGACCAAGGGGCAGCAGGACCAGGUGGAGGGAUAAAAUCUCAACGCUGGCCUAGGAGCACCGUGGAAUCCCCGUGGAGCUGGUUUAUGUAGCCGGGGAAAGGGAAGUCGUCUGCGACCUGACCCUGAAUACGCUUGUUGGAUGGAUGGAUCUACAUUUUCAAAACUGGCUAACCUCUAUUUGCCAAUAAAGAUGGAAAAUUCGAAACUCUAUAAAAAGAGUCUUCAAGGUGGGACUGCCUUGCAAACUACUUCUCCAACAAAAACACGACUUGAAAUAUAUCUCAAUGAAACAAAAUAAUAAUAAAAAACUGGGGUAUAUACUGUAGGACAUUAAUGGAAGACACGGAGGAAACCAAACUGGUUUAGCAUGGUAAAGCACAGAUGACUCUUCUUCCUGUAAGUGUGUGACACAAACAAUAUGUCAUAUCACUAUGUCUUCCUGGAUCUGUUUAAACCAUCACCGAUACUUAUCUGCUAUUGUUCAGCUUUCAAAGACUGUCAUGUAAGAAUGUGUGUGUGUGUGUGUAUAAGCAUAUAUAAAUGCCAGUCUUCUAGUGUCAUCUCACACUUUGCUCAGGACUCAAGCUGUUUCAGGAGAUCUACUUUGCAGAUUUCAGUGUUGUUCUGGACUCAUUCACCCACCAGAAUGUUUUCCCUCCUGUUCCUUGCGGUGCUCUGGGCCAGCUGCAUGACAGCUCCCUUGCCUCAGUACUCCUUCUCCCCCGCUGUUGGUAAUGGUGGAGGCACGGCAUUCGCCACAGAAAAUGAAAAUGGACCAAUCACAGGGAUCAGACUCUGGGAAAAUAGCAACAGUUACAU